UGNAACCUGCGGAGGGAUCAUUACCGAGUUUACAACUCCCAAACCCCUGUGAACAUACCUAUACGUUGCCUCGGCGGAUCAGCCCGCGCCCCGUAAAACGGGACGGCCCGCCCGAGGACCCCUAAACUCUGUUUUUAGUGGAACUUCUGAGUAAAACAAACAAAUAAAUGAAAACAAACAACAACGGAUCUCUUGGUUCUGGCAUCGAUGAAGAACGCAGCAAAAUGCGAUAAGUAAUGUGAAUUGCAGAAUUCAGUGAAUCAUCGAAUCUUUGAACGCACAUUGCGCCCGCCAGUAUUCUGGCGGGCAUGCCUGUUCGAGCGUCAUUUCAACCCUCAAGCUCAGCUUGGUGUUGGGACUCGCGGUAACCCGCGUUCCCCAAAUCGAUUGGCGGUCACGUCGAGCUUCCAUAGCGUAGUAAUCAUACACCUCGUUACUGGUAAUCGUCGCGGCCACGCCGUAAAACCCCAACUUCUGAAUGUUGACCUCGGAUCAGGUAGGAAUNACCCGCUGAACUUA
rnacentral:rRNA from 1 species